ACGCUCGACACCUACGGGGGGCAGCAGUGGGGGAUAUUGCACAAUGGGGGAAACCCUGAUGCAGCAACGCCGCGUGAGGGAAGAAGGUUUUCGGAUUGUAAACCUCUGUCCUUGGUGACGAUAAUGACGGUAGCCAAGGAGGAAGCUCCGGCUAACUACGUGCCANNCGCGAUAUNAGCGGCGUGNGAGNG
rnacentral:rRNA from 1 species